UUUCACUGAAACAAGGGGAAAGCUCAAAUGGGGAAUUGGCCCCGGAGGCAGCAGUAAAGAAUUUUGUGCAAUAUAUGAAGGUAAGACACAGAGAGGGCACCUUACCUAGUCCGUCAAAUUAAGUGCCAGCAGACGCGGUGAAACUUAAGGGCUAGUUUUGUGGGCAAAAGCGUAAAGGGUGUGAUAGGCCGUUUUAAUUAAAAAGGGUUUUAUAAUUUAAGAAGGUAAAUGGAAUUUUUUUGUAGCGGUGGAAUGUGUAAAUAGAAAAAAGAACUUUAGACGUGAAGACUAUUUAUUUUUGAGAUUAUGGUGUGAUGGCUAAAACACGAGAGUAUGGGGAGCAAACAGGAUUAGGGACCCUGGUAGUCUAUACUGUAAAUAAUGAAAAAGAUGUGAAGCAAUCCUAAAAAGUCAGAAAUUUUCCGCUUGAGUAGUACGACCGCAAGGUUAAAAUUCAAAAAACUUGGCUGUUCACUGUUUUAAUUAGAGGAGCGUGUCGUUUAAUUCGAUAGUCCGCGAGAGACCUUACCCAAACUUGAAUCCCUCAUUGACAGGUAUUGCAUGGCCGUCGUCAAUUUGUGUAUUAAACAUAAAACAGAUUUAACCCAGUGGUUUGUCACUUGGAUGAAGUCAGGUCUUAUUGUCCUAAUGUUUGGGGAUUAGAUGCGCUACAUUUUUUUAUACAAUAGGAAACUUUGAGUGUGAAACCUGAAAAUAAGAGUUCGGAAAGUGCCUGGAAGAUAACGGAAAGUUGUAUUUAAUAGUAAUUGAAAAGUAGAGCGUUUCAAUGAAAUUUUUUCAGUGUUAGUACAAAUUGCCCGUCGCCUUUGCUUAGACAGGUUGGUUGAUUGCCCCUCAAGAGGGUUUCUAAUACCUCCGAGGCAGAGUAAGUCGUAACA
rnacentral:rRNA from 1 species